rnacentral:misc_RNA from 1 species
UCUCCGUUGGUGAACCAGCGGAGGGAUCAUUACCGAGUUUACAACUCCCAAACCCCUGUGAACAUACCAUUUGUUGCCUCGGCGGUGCCUGCUUCGGCAGCCCGCCAGAGGACCCAAACCCUAGAUUUUAUACAGUAUCUUCUGAGUAAAUGAUUAAAUAAAUCAAAACUCUCAACAACGGAUCUCUUGGUUCUG